CUGUGGGAGGCAGACAGGAAGCAGCUAAAGCGAGAGAGGAGAUGUUGAAUGAGUGGAAAAAAGAAAAGAAAAAAGCAAUUUAUUGAAAGAACAGCAGCGGCUCGUUCCCACGGAAACAAUCGAUGCCGUGAAGACGGCGACUUGAUGGAGCAGGAACCGCCCUGGAUGGAAAUGUUUUGGGCUUUCAUUUAUUAUCACGGGACGAGAGGAGAGUCCAGAGGGAGCUCCCUCCUCUUCAGAGGAAGACGAGGGAGCUCCCUCCUCUUCAGAGGAAGACGAGGACGUCUCACCGGCUGUGAUAUUAAUAAUAAUAACCUGACGUCUGGCCUCCACGUCGAGGAGCGAAGAAAACAGGAAACACCGUCAGGUUCCCCAGCAGCGUGUCCAGCUUGAAGCCGGUGAAGUUGGCGGUGGUGGGGCCCGUCCCGUUGAAGGCUACAGGCAGC